rnacentral:rRNA from 1 species
GCAAGUCGAGCGGAAACGAGAAGUAGCUUGCUACUUCGGCGUCGAGCGGCGGACGGGUGAGUAAUGCCUGGGAAUAUGCCUUAUGGUGGGGGACAACAGUUGGAAACGACUGCUAAUACCGCAUAACGUCUACGGACCAAAGGGGGGGAUCUUCGGACCUCUCGCCAUUUGAUUAGCCCAAGUGAGAUUAGCUAGUUGGUAAGGUAAUGGCUUACCAAGGCGACGAUCCCUAGCUGGUCUUAGAGGAUGACC